AUGCUUGCGCCUAUAGUGAAAAUAUAUAGUCAUGUUAAAACAGCGGCGAUUAGCUUUUAAUGUGAUCGUCUCUACCUGUAGCAUGGCACAAA
rnacentral:snoRNA from 1 species